rnacentral:rRNA from 1 species
AGGUGAACCUGCGGAGGGAUCAUUAAAGAGUUAAAACAACUCCUAAACCCAUGUGAACCUACCUUUGUUGCCUCGGCAGGUCUGCAACUUACCCUGAGGGGACCUACCCUGUAGGUACCUUACCCGGUAGUUGCGGGCAUAACCUGCCGGUGGUCUACUAAACUCUGUUUACUAUGUUAUUCUGAAUAAUAUAACUAAAUAAGUUAAAACUUUCAACAACGGAUCUCUUGGUUCUGGCAUCGAUGAAGAACGCAGCGAAAUGCGAUAAGUAAUGUGAAUUGCAGAAUUCAGUGAAUCAUCGAAUCUUUGAACGCACAUUGCGCCCAUUAGUAUUCUAGUGGGCAUGCCUGUUCGAGCGUCAUUUCAACCCUUAAGCCCUGUUGCUUAGCGUUGGGAGCCUACAGAUACCCUCUGUAGUUCCUUAAAGUUAGUGGCGGAGUCGGUUUCACACUCUAGACGUAGUAAAUUUUAUCUCGCCUAUAGAUGAGCCGGUCCCUUGCCGUAAAACCCCCUAAUUUCUAAAGGUUGACCUCGGAUCAGGUAGGAAUACCCGCUGAACUUAAGCAUAUCAAA